AUUGGAUGUCAACCUAAUCAAAGAAGAUUACCAGCUAGGGUACAGGGUUAGUUAUCAGUAUUUUUGGUUACGGUUUGCGAGCGAGUGACAUGCCAUCUACUGCUAAAUUGGCACGUCAGAUUACACCAUUAGACCUUAACCUCGCCAAGACUGAUCAUGAAGAGAAGUCGACAUCCAAGCAGCAGCGAAGACUCUGACAAUGGAAGUAACUCCACUUCUUGGUCGCAACAUUCUCAACUCAGGAGAGCCAAUGGGAUGAAGCCCACAGAGGUGUUCAGGACAGACUUCAUCACGGCCAUGAAGCUCCAUGACGAGUACCAUCUGAACCCAGAGGAUUAUUACGUCCUGGUCGAUCCCUGGAGACAGGAGUGGGAGAAGGGAGUCCAGGUCCCUGUCAGCCCACACACCAUCCCCCAGCCUGUAGCCCGGGUGGUGGCUGAGAAGGGGAUGGAGGUGAUGUUCUUGAAGCCCAAGAAGUGGAUCCGUUCGGGGUGUUCAGGGGCGCUGGGGUACGUGGACAUCCAGACCCUGGCUGAGGGGACGUGUCGGUACGACCUCAACGACACUGACGUGGCCUGGCUGGAGCUCAUCAACCACCAGUUCACUCUGAUGGGUAUGGCUGUGCUGGAUGAGACCACCAUGGAGAGAGCGAUGGAGGAGUUUGAGCGGCGUUGCUAUGACAGAAUGAGACAUCCCAUGGCAACGGAGGAGGGGUUUGGCAUGGAGUACGACGAAGACGUCGUGUGUGACGUGUGUCGGUCACCUGACGACGAGGACAACAAUGAGAUGGUGUUCUGCGACAAGUGCAACAUCUGUGUUCACCAGGUGUGUUAUGGGAUUCUGAAGGUACCAAAGGGUAGCUGGCUGUGUCAGACCUGUGCUCUCGGCAUCUCGCCCAAAUGCCAAGUCUGCCCCAAGAAGGGCGGGGCCAUGAAACCCACCCGCAGCAGAACCAAGUGGGUCCACGUCAGCUGUGCUCUGUGGAUCCCCGAGUGUUCAGCUAAACGCUGUCGGACAGCGUUCCAUGUGAGCUGUGCCUUAGACAGCAGUCUGGAGAUGAACACCAUCGUCAAAGAGCAUGAGGAUGAGGUCAGGUUCAAGUCCUUCUGCCCCAAACACUCUGGUCUGGUGGGAGGAGAGGACGAGGAGGGGAGGCUCAGAGGAGAUGAAGUUCCUCAUCCCGUCCCAGUCCCCAACCCAGCAGAGGCCCUGAACCUCCGUCACAUCAGACUACAGCAGGAGGUGUCCCAGGCCCUGCAGCUGAACCAGGAGACAGUCCACUUCAUGUAUCGGUACUGGAAGCUGAAAUGCCAAGCGAAUCACAGCCAGCCGUUGCUGACCCUCCAGAUGGAGGACGAGAGUCUGGCGAGCAGAGAGCAUGAUAUCGUCCUCCACCACCUGUUUCCCCGGGGGAUGGGUCAGGGUGCUGCGUCCACGCCUCCCAGGCCGACCACACCCAGGCAGCGGUCACUGGCUAUUGGCUGAUUGUCUCCAGCUGCAGAGGGGAGGAUGAGUCUAACGCCUGACCCAACCCAAUGCCAGCAGGAAUCCCCACCAGUUGACCAUUUUGAAAUGGUGGAAGCCCUCAAUGGUGAUAUCCAUGCAAUGAUCUGUGGUUUGAACCCUGAGUGACAUGAUCUGAAGACUGAAGCCACUUCCUGUUCUGACUCAUCGUUGCUCCUGAACCUACAGGGGUCAUCCGAUUUUAAGUUAUUACUGAGAAAUGAUAGUGUGACCGGAGUUAAGCGUGCGUUAAUUUAACGUAAUUCCCUUUUCUCUGUAUACGGACUUUGAACUUAACGCUUGUGUGGUGUUCAUGUUUUUGUUAUUCACCCAAUGUUCGCGGUUCUAAUGAAGUCACAACAAUUUACGUAAAAAUACUUAGAUGCUGAUUUAUAUCAAUUACAAGCAAUAUUGACAGCAUACAUGGUUCAUAUUUACCUAUGUGUUAGCAGUUGUUGUUAUUCUUCAAUAACACAAACUCCAAAGCAAAUCAGAGGGAGAAAAUAGGUUGAUUUGAGAAGGACAAAUCAUAGAUGCAAUGCUGGGAGGUAGAUGUUCAGUCUACCCUGUCUUCAGCUUUUCUCCACAAAACAAAGGAACCGGAUGUCAUUUAUAACCCCCCCACCCUAGCCUUGACCAAUCAGAAGUCCUUGCAGUACCACUGGGCCAAUAGCCAAAUAACAAGUAUCCUGCUCCAGACUAAACGGACAGACCGUAGUUCAGGACUGACAUUCUACAGAUGUUGAACUGAAACCCAACUCCUAUUGACAAUUCCCUAUUGACCAUUAGGACUAGUUUUUAGUCCUCAUCCUCUGCGUUGUCUAUCUUAAAAAAUCACAUUUUAUAAAAAACACUUAUUGGUAAAUGUGAUCUAGCAUGCAUAUAUAUAUGCUAGAUCACAUUUACCAAUAAGUGUUUUUUUAUAAAAUGUGAUUUUUGUUAACAAAUCGAUUAUAAUCAGGACAUGGGUGAAACAAAUAUAAAUGAAAAAAGUU